UACAGAGGUGGCAAGCGUUGUUCGGAAUUACUGGGCGUAAAGGGUUCGUAGGUGGCCUACUAAGUCAUACGUGAAAUCCCUCAGCUUAACUGGGGAACUGCGUCUGAGACUGGAAGGCUUGAGUGCAGGAGAGGAACGCGGAAUUCCAGGUGUAGCGGUGAAAUGCGUAGAUAUCUGGAGGAACACCGGUGGCGAAGGCGGCAUCCUGGACCGGUAUUGACGCUGAGGCGCGAAAGCCGGGAGGGCAAACGGG
rnacentral:rRNA from 1 species